CUACAGCCAACUCAGCUGGCUGAGUUCCUCGCCUCAUGGGGGACGUGUGCAAUGGCUGCAAACAGCAGCUUCCUUGGUGGUGUAUGCAGCCUGUUUCUUGUAUGGCUGCUCUAAGGGACCUUGGAGACAGGC
rnacentral:snoRNA from 10 species